UGAACGCUGGCGGCAUGCCUUACACAUGCAAGUCGAACGGCAGCAUGAUCUAGCUUGCUAGAUCGAUGGCGAGUGGCGAACGGGUGAGUAAUACAUCGGAACGUGCCCUGUAGUGGGGGAUAACUAGUCGAAAGAUUAGCUAAUACCGCAUACGACCUGAGGGUGAAAGUGGGGGACCGCAAGGCCUCAUGCUAUAGGAGCGGCCGAUGUCUGAUUAGCUAGUUGGUGGGGUAAAGGCCCACCAAGGCGACGAUCAGUAGCUGGUCUGAGAGGACGAUCAGCCACACUGGGACUGAGACACGGCCCAGACUCCUACGGGAGGCAGCAGAAGGG
rnacentral:rRNA from 1 species